CAGACUCUUCGCUCCUGCCCUGGGCUGCGUGCAAAGCGUCCACCUUCCUGGAGAGUCUCACAUUUGGAAGGAAGGGUUGUGUUUCGUUUGCUGUUUUGCAUUUUCGAUCCCAGCCAACAGGUGUUACACCCUCUGCCGUUCCUCCUAACAGUCAGUUUAAAACAGUUUAAACCAUGCCAGGGAUAUUGGCUACUCUCCACUUUGAUUCUGACUCCAAGAAUAUUUCUUGGAAUAUUGUUAUUCCAUGUAAGACGCAUGGAAUCCUGAACGACUGAAGAUGUUUCUCCGUGUUUGAGACUUCAUGUGUCUUGUCGGUCUCAGCCUUCGCCCACCAGCCUCCUCCUGUACAGUGGAAUUAAUGCUCCAAAGUGAGAAAAACUCAAGCUAUUGAUGGAGAAGAUACACUGUGCAGAAAUCUUCCGGAUUCCUUCAGUUCCAUGGAGUGAGUCUGUGCCUAUUGCCUCACGAGCACCGGGCUUGGCAUUGGGCUUGGGUGUUCUGUUCGGACGUGAGAGGUUGUAAGAGCCCCACCAGCCUAUUGGAUGCCUUCAGUGGACUUAUUGCUUGGGAUUUUUGCCGUGGCCUUCUUGAGCCGCGUGUGCUAUCAACGCAGUGGUUUCUAUGGAAGGAUGAUUCGCAAUGAUUUGCUGUUUUCCUGGAGAGACCUGCUUGAGCUGAGCAGAGGGGUGGCUCAGGCUCUGGCCAGCAGCAGCCCAGGCAUGUGGAUGGAUCUCUCCAGCUCACACUGGAAGGAUGUGAAACCCAUGUGUAGAAGUGUUUCCUGGCUUUAAAAUCCUGAGCAAGUGCAUUGGAAACCUAGCCCUCCUCCAUGUAAUAGCUGCCAAUGGUGCGUGCAAAAAAAAAAAAAUAUCUGAGGACGGCCAGGAAGUGGCUUGAUGGACUGAAAGAGAAGCCAAGUUCAUCCUCUGGAAGCCAGCCUGGCCUUAGGCUGGAAAACCGCUGGCUCCAUCAGCGAGCUGUUCGUGCCCCGUGCAGCCAAUUCCAGACAGGUAUGGGCUCGAAUGGAGUUUUCCAGUAAAAGGAAAUGAAAAGAAAACCAAGACCCGCUCACAGCUUAUACAGUUGGGCUUCUGCCCCGAUAUCCUGCCAAAACCCGUUCUUUGGAGCUUUUGCAAAGUCAGACGGCCCCAUGCUGACGUCAGUGUCUCUUCUGCCACCUCUGGGCUUGAGUGCAACCCGUGACCCUGGAUCACACGGGUAA